UGGCCUUUGAUGAUAUAUAGAAUAAAAGAACACCAUCUUUCGGGACUGAAUGGCCCUACAGGCCUUGCUGUUUAUUCUGCUAUUCUGAGGCCU
rfam:Capsicum annuum cultivar Zunla-1 chromosome 1, whole genome shotgun sequence